AGAGUUUGAUCAUGGCUCAGGAUGAACGCUAGCGAUAGGCCUAACACAUGCAAGUCGAGGGGCAGCACAUGAAGUAACAAUACGGAUGGUGACGACCGGCGCACGGGUGAGUAACGCGUAUGCAACCUGCCUACAACAGGGGAAUAACCCGUUGAAAGACGGACUAAUACCCCAUAACACAGGGAUCCCGCAUGGGAAUAUUUGUUAAAGAUUUAUCGGUUGUAGAUGGGCAUGCGUUCCAUUAGCUGGUUGGUGAGGUAACGGCUCACCAAGGCAACGAUGGAUAGGGGAACUGAGAGGUUUAUCCCCCACACUGGUACUGAGACACGGACCAGACUCCUACGGGAGGCAGCAGUGAGGAAUAUUGGUCAAUGGACGCAAGUCUGAACCAGCCACGUCGCGUGAAGGAAGACGGCCCUACGGGUUGUAGACUUCUUUUGUAAGGGAAUAAAGUGCAGUACGUGUACUGUUUUGCAUGUACCUUACGAAUAAGGAUCGGCUAACUCCGUGCCAGCAGCCGCGGUAAUACGGAGGAUCCGAGCGUUAUCCGGAUUUAUUGGGUUUAAAGGGUGCGCAGGCGGGAGAUUAAGUCGGCGGUGAAAUUUUGCAGCUCAACUGUAAAAGUGCCUUCGAAACUGGUUUUCUUGAGUGUGGAUGAAGUAGGCGGAAUUUGUGGUGUAGCGGUGAAAUGCAUAGAUAUCACGAGGAACUCCGAUUGCGCACGCAGCUUACUAAACCAUAACUGACGCUCAGCACGAAAGCGUGGGGAUCAAACAGGAUUAGAUACCCUGGUAGUC
rnacentral:rRNA from 1 species